UAGGGAAUCUUCGGCAAUGGACGGAAGUCUGACCGAGCAACGCCGCGUGAGUGAAGAAGGUUUUCGGAUCGUAAAGCUCUGUUGUAAGAGAAGAACGAGUGUGAGAGUGGAAAGUUCACACUGUGACGGUAUCUUACCAGUAAGGGACGGCUAACUACGUGCCAGCAGCCGCGGUAAUACGUAGGUCCCGAGCGUUGUCCGGAUUUAUUGGGCGUAAAGCGAGCGCAGGCGGUUAGAUAAGUCUGAAGUUAAAGGCUGUGGCUUAACCAUAGUAGGCUUUGGAAACUGUUUAACUUGAGUGCAAGAGGGGAGAGUGGAAUUCCAUGUGUAGCGGUGAAAUGCGUAGAUAUAUGGAGGAACACCGGUGGCGAAAGCGGCUCUCUGGCUUGUAACUGACGCUGAGGCUCGAAAGCGUGGGGAGCAAACAGGAUUAGAUACCCUGGUAGUCCACGCUGUAAACGAUGAGUGCUAGGUGUUAGACCCUUUCCGGGGUUUAGUGCCGUAGCUAACGCAUUAAGCACUCCGCCUGGGGAGUACGACCGCAAGGUUG
rnacentral:rRNA from 1 species